AUAUUGGGGAGAGACCGAUAGCGAACAAGUACCGUGAGGGAAAGAUGAAAAGCACUUUGGAAAGAGAGUUAACAGUACGUGAAAUUGUUGGAAGGGAAACACAUGCAGUGAUACUUGCUAUUCGGGGCAACUCGAUUGGCAGGCCCGCAUCAGUUUUUCGGGGCGGAAAAGCGUAGAGAGAAGGUAGCAACUUCGGUUGUGUUAUAGCUCUUUACUGGAUUCGCCCUGGGGGACUGAGGAACGCAGCGUGCUUUUAGCAUAAGCUUCGGCUUAUCCACGCUUAGGAUGCGGGUGUAAUGGCUGUAUAUGACCCGUCUUGAAACACGGACC
rnacentral:rRNA from 1 species